rnacentral:snRNA from 1 species
UAGGGUUACAGCUCUUUUAGAAUUUGUCUAGCAGAUUUUUCAGUAAAAAAAAAAAAAAUACAA